UAAGUCUACUAGAAUUAUAUUUUCUUUUUUAUUUCUCAAGUGCAUGGCAUUUCAGAAUUGCAUAAGCGAGCCGCUCAAGACCUGGAUAUAGUACAAAUGACAUGUGAACAAGUCGCAGAAGCACGUAGAGACAAUUGAUUGUUCAGACACAAUUGGUCAUCCUAUUGAGUUUGCUAGUGACCAGAAGACUGCUGCAAGAGCAAGAGGAUAACAGAAGGCUAGAGUUAAUUAUCAAACUAAUCAGUUUCAACUCGUAGGUUAUAAUUAUUAUUGCUUUUUUUUUUAAUGAUGAACACACGUCUUAACAUCAAUCCACUAAAUUAGUUGGAUUCGAAUCACGAGGAAUGAGUGCAUAUUCCUACUCCCAGCAACCCAUUUCCUGUAUUAUAAUAUCACGAGCAUUUCUGUUCCACCAGUAAUAUUUAUUGGCCAGCUGGUUGCAUUCCCUGUUUUGGCAUCUAUACUGUAUGGGCCAAACAUUGCAAUAAGUGAGCAAAUCAUCUUGGAGUCUUUCGUUGACUACAUAGCUGUUAGGCAAAGUCCAGAGGAUCCUUGCACGACUCUGAGGUCACUGCAGGAGUGGAGAAUGCUGCAUGGAGAUACUGGAGUUUAAUGAAAAUUUAAUUUGGAAUAACACCUGCAAUUGUCAAACUGGACCAGAUCGUGCUUUGACACAAUAAAAUCGGAUCGCUUAGACAGAGCCCGAGUUGGAUAGAUUUCCAGGUGUACUUAGUAUAAUUAUCGCACAUAAUUAUCGUAUUAUAAUGGUAUACACAUGCAGUAUCAAAUUUCAUGCAGGGAACUCGAUGUAUACCCGAUUGCAUAUCAUAACCAGUAUACUUUUACAGUUCAAGAAAAGAAAACUAUAAAGUGUUAUGCUCUACGUGUACUGUGUUAUGUUACUAAUUCCUUUUUUUAGUUACAGUGAUUUGUGAUUGUAAUUAUGGCAACACCAUCACCAAAGAGAGUGAAGGUUGGUGGAUUUAAUGCUCACAUCAAGUUCAUUUGAAUAUUUUGCAAGUCUUGUGAAAGAAGCUCAGGAUGUACCAUUUCCAUGGAAGGAGGCUGUACCCGAAGACAUACGAGUGUGGUUUGAAACAUUUGCCAAGUCUCAUAACACUGUUCCAGAGUACCGUUUUAUUGGUGCACUUGCAACCACAGCUGCUUUGAUGGGACCAAAAUGUUUUGUGGAAGUAAGGGAAACCUACAGGGAGCCAGAAACUGUUUGCCAUUUGUGUUUGGGUCAAGGGAAGAGUCGUUAACAUGUCCAUCCGACAGGGCAUCUUACCCUUCGACUGGAAAACUUCUAACAUCACCCCACUCCACAAGAAAGGACCUAGAAACUCACCUACCAACUACAGACCAAUCAGUUUAACAUCAAUCGAUCGUCAUAAAUUUGUUGUCAGGCAAAGCAAUCGCUGUCAAAACACUAGAAAAAAUUAUUCACACAAGGCUAUACAAUCUACUGGACAACAAUAUUUUAUCACCAAUCCAACACGGCUUGCCACAGCUGCCAGUCACAGCUACUAGAAACCAUUUUUGACUGGUCAAAGAAUACCACUUCCAUGCACCCAUGCUAUCUUUCUGGACUUUUCUAAAGCAUUUGAUACAUAUCCCCACUUUAAGGAAUGGACCGUCCUAGAAGUGGCCAGGUGGCUUAAAGAUUAUGCCUUUCACAAGACGUCUGUGGCACCUUUGAAGGUAUACUAGAGCACAGAAAUUAAAAUUUGUAUUCUAUUUAGAGGCAAGGUAGGUUCUAGGAUGUCGUUACGUAAGUUUUGUGUACUUAUUGUAACUGUACUUGUAGCUUGUAGCUAAUAUCCAACUGGAGUAUGAACUUGUACAUUGUAUGUUUUCUUUUAGGCGUCGUGGGAGAAACGGAUAAUCGACCGCGUAUAUAACGUUUGCAAGGUUGAGAAGGAUGAGACUGACGGCGCCCCAGUGAAGAAGAAAUUAAAACUAGAGCACUAAAGUGCAAACCCUCGGCUGGUGACAUGAUAAUAAAGAAACCAGAAGAGUGAUGAUGCAGUGCAUGUAGCAUGUAUGACUAGCACAGCAACUCAAGAGCAAUAAAACUAAACCAGACUGGAGACAUGCUGAAACAUUGAGUGGUACAUGUCACAUGAGACAUGUACUGUGAUCACAGCAAAGGAGCCUGGAGUCUUAGACUUAGAGAGGUAUAUAUGGCUCCUGCCAGGCUGGAGUAUAGGAUCCAGAGUCAGCCAACAACCAGUCACAAUUUUAGCUUUCUACUAUCAAUUGUUCCAGGUACGGAUCACUUCAGCUGCAACUACGUAAUUAAGGCCACGUGUAGCUAGCUAGCUGCCAACAUGCAAGUUCAAGCUUCUUAGCUUUUGCUCGACAAAGAAGCUUUAACAUCAAAAUCUGCCACUAUUUAAACCAAGAUAUUGUUCUGUGAAGGCUAUACAUGCUGUAAACGCAGCGCUGUGGUACCCAGGUGAGUAGAUAUACCUGUGACAAACAAACAAACAGACCAAUGGACUACUAUACCCGUGGCCGCCCACGUGCGCCUCGGGUAAUAACUGACAGAUACCCUCCACUUGCAUUGUCAGAAAUACCUAACGAUGAGAGCAACCGUAGAAACUUGGAAGCGUUGAACAAGAACUAAAGAAAAAUGAACCUACCAAAUCAGUGGUACUGGAAUUAAUGGAGCUCACUUUCAGUGUCCGGAGGGGACUUUAUUCUUAGUAAAGCUGGGAGUGUCCACGAAAUCCUUGAAAAGUUUCCAGCACUGCUUCGCCCUGAUUGUGUAAUUCUAGAAAUGGCGCUUAUUCUGAAACGCCCGAAGGAUUCGAUAUUCAAAGAUUUUCAAUAAAAGUGGGAGAAGUGGGUUCCAGCAAUUCUUAAACUCUCCAAAACGUUCUCAAAAAAGUCUAGAGCAGCAUUUGACGACACUCCGUAAACUAUGGCAUGCAGGAAGUAGACCAUUAAUUUAAACCGUGUAUUGUUUGGUGCUGUGUAUUGUUUGGCAGCGUUAUUCACAUUGUUGGCCAAAAAACACAAGGAGAAGCAUCCGGAGUACUAUUGGAUUUCAGAUCACG